rnacentral:rRNA from 1 species
GACGAACGCUGGCGGCGUGCCUAAUACAUGCAAGUAGAACGCACAGUCUAUACCGUAGCUUGCUACACCAUAAACUGUGAGUUGCGAACGGGUGAGUAACGCGUAGGUAACCUGCCUGGUAGCGGGGGAUAACUAUUGGAAACGAUAGCUAAUACCGCAUAAUAUUAAUUAUUGCAUGAUAAUUGACUGAAAGAUGCAAUUGUAUCACUACCAGAUGGCCCUGUGUUGUAUUAGCUAGUAGGUGAGGUAACGGCUCACCUAAGGGACGAAACAUAGCCGACCUUGGAAGGGGGACGGCCAAACUGGGACCGGGAACACGCCCAAACCCCCACGGGGAGGAGCCAUAGGGAAUCUUCGGCAAUGGGCGGAAGUCUGACCGGACAACGCCGCGGUGGGGGAGAAGGGUCUCGGGUCGUAAAGACCUGUUGUAAGGGAAGAAAGAGUGUGGGAGUGGAAAGUUCACACUGUGACGGUACCUAAUCAGAAAGCGACGGCUAACUACGUG